rnacentral:rRNA from 2 species
AAACGACUCUCGGCAACGGAUAUCCCGGCUCUCGCAUCGAUGAAGAACGUAGCGAAAUGCGAUACUUGGUGUGAAUUGCAGAAUCCCGUGAACCAUCGAGUCUUUGAACGCAAGUUGCGCCCGAAGCCACUAGGUUGAGGGCACGUCUGCCUGGGUGUCACGC